UCCGCUCGGAGGCUCGCGAAAUUUUGACAGAUUGCGAUAAAAGAAUACAAAAAAAACAAGUCUUGUACAUUUUUUGUAUUUUUUCAUCGCAAGCUGUCAAAACUUGUUUUUAUAGAAUUUGCUUUUGUGGUGUAAUAUUCGGAACUCCCAAACAAACCCGUAUUCAGUCGAUACAGCGUGUGAUUAUACAGCUGAAGAAGUCAGUACCGUGUUCAGUGCAUUGUAAUUUGUAAUAUCGAGCAGCAACCAUAGCGGACACACAUCAUCGAACACCAGCAACAGAAUACCAAGGUCACCAUGGUCAGAGAACGCAGUAAUAAUGGGGCAACAGUAAACAACAUCAAGAUGCUGGUAAAGGACUUUCUCUUUCGAACAAACAUUAUGGAAACCUGAGUGCUUACAUACACUCUGAUGGAAACGUCGUAUCCUCUACACGAACGUGUCCAAUCGCUGUGACUCGUUUGGAAAACAAACAAAAGAAGGCAUUGUUUUUUCCGCAAGGUCGCUCUGAGAAAAAUUUCAGCAAAUUGCAAGGAAUGAACCCCCGGAGGGGUACUGAUGUCGAUUCAGGACGUUUUCCCAUACAUUGUAGCUAUUGAAUUUUGAUACCCGGUCGAAACGAUGGCAAGCGCUGCCGAUAACUGGGUCAAAAAAGCGGAUGGUCAGUAAAUUUCUGUACACGGCGGCUGACAGUCCAGAGAAUGUAUAAAUGUCUAGUUUAUCGGCAAUCGAGCCAGCGAGAAUCGGCUGCACCUGCAGUUUUGAGUUCGAUAGCUGCGAAAAUUCUGACUUUAGCAAGCGAAAAUGGAGAAACAGCUAACCUGGCGGAUGCAAUUUCACUACUGAAAGUUAUUCGCAAAGGUCUGGUAGAAUCAAAGCUGGAUCUGGAGGUGAAGCGAAAGAAUGCUUCUUCCCCGCUAUACUCGGUUAACACUUUCGAAGCUUUGCACAAAAGCAGGAACUGCUUCAGGGAGUCUAUGCUAUGGGUUCCAACGCCCCUUCCUAGAUUCACGAUACGGCUUUACCUACUCUAUUGGCCGAUCUGCCACAGAACAUGAUCGCCAAGUCAAUCGGGAACAGGAAAAAUAGCUGCUUUAGUGCUGGCAAUGCUCAGUCGAUUCGAUCUGUUAAAAAACUAUCCGCAGGUAAUUUGCCUUUCCGCCACGCAUGAACUGGCAACUCAGAAGGAGAAAGUAGCU